UCUUCCGUAGUAUAGUGGUCAGUAUGUGAGCUUGUCAACGGACUCCACCAGGUCUAUGACUUCGCUCGAGACCCGGGUUCAAUUCCCGGCGGGAGAG